rnacentral:rRNA from 1 species
GACGAACGCUGGCGGCGUGCUUAACACAUGCAAGUCGAACGGAAAGGCCCCUUUGGGGGUACUCGAGUGGCGAACGGGUGAGUAACACGUGAGUAACCUGCCCUUGACUUCGGGAUAACUUCAGGAAACUGGGGCUAAUACCGGAUAGGAAUCCUUGCUGCAUGGUGGGGGUUGGAAAGCUUCGGCGGUUUUGGAUGGACUCGCGGCUUAUCAGCUUGUUGGUGGGGUAGUGGCUUACCAAGGCUUUGACGGGUAGCCGGCCUGAGAGGGCGACCGGCCACAUUGGGACUGAGAUACAGCCCAGACUCCUACGGGAGGCAGCAGUGGGGAAUAUUGCACAAUGGGCGGAAGCCUGAUGCAGCAACGCCGCGUGCGGGAUGACGGCCUUCGGGUUGUAAACCGCUUUCAGCAGGGGCGAAGCUUGUGGUGACGGUACCUGCAGAAGAAGCACCGGCUAACUACGUG